GGAUGUGAAGUCCAUCUGGCUUUGACAUCUGUCACCCCAUUGGUCACCAGGGUUGAUUCGGCUGAUCUGGCUGGGUAGUGUCCCCUUCUUCCCUCACCGCUCUAUGCGUGUCCAGCCUGAAUCUGCACACUCAGUCAAAAAGAACGACCUUCCCCGAAUAGAGGAGGUGGUCUUGGAUCAAGGGUUUAUGAGUACUGCGCUCCCCUGCUCGAACCUGCACACAAGCUCUCAAGAAAGCUUGCUGAAGUGCAGAGGACUUACGGGUUAGUUAGCAGCCCCUGGAACUCCGGCUCCAGG
rnacentral:snRNA from 1 species